AUGUGCCCAGACUAGGGCCUCAGAGACCAGAAUUGGGGCACAUUCAUCAUGGCCUGGACCCCUCUUCUCCUCAGAUUCCUGGCUCACCGCACAGGUUUUGUGGCUGCCUACGUGCUGACUCAGCCUCCCUCAAUGUCGGUGAAUCUGGGACAGAUGGCCAGCAUCACCUGUGGGGGAGACAACAUUGGAAAUACAUAUGUUUCCUGGUACCAACAGAAGCUGGGCCAGGCACCCUUGAUGAUUAUCUAUAGAGAUAGCAACCGGCCCUCAGGGAUCCCAGACCGGUUCUCUGGUUCCAACUCAGGGAACACGGCCACCCUGACCAUCAGCAGGGCCCAGGCAGAGGACGAGGCUGACUAUUACUGUAGUGGUAGUGAUCACAGUGACACGGGCAGAUGGGGAAAUGAGACACAAACCCCUUUGCCAUCUGAGUCACACUAUCCUCCAGCCCCAGGAGGCCUGUGCACAGAGCAGUGA